rnacentral:rRNA from 1 species
GUGGCGGACGGGUGAGUAACGCGUGGGUAACCUGCCUUGUACUGGGGGACAACAGUUGGAAACGACUGCUAAUACCGCAUAAGCGCACAGCUUCGCAUGAAGCAGUGUGAAAAACUCCGGUGGUACAAGAUGGACCCGCGUCUGAUUAGCUGGUUGGUGAGGUAACGGCCCACCAAGGCAACGAUCAGUAGCCGGCCUGAGAGGGUGAACGGCCACAUUGGGACUGAGACACGGCCCAAACUCCUACGGGAGGCAGCAUG